GAUGAACGCUGGCGGCGUGCCUAAUACAUGCAAGUCGAGCGGACAGAUGAAGUGCUUGCACUUCUGACGUUAGCGGCGAACGGGUGAGUAACACGUAAGGAAUCUACCUAUAAGCGGGGGAUAACAUUCGGAAACGGGUGCUAAUACCGCAUAAUAUCUUCUUCCGCAUGGAAGAAGAUUGAAAGACGGCUCUGCUGUCACUUAUAGAUGACCUUGCGGUGCAUUAGUUAGUUGGUGGGGUAAUGGCCUACCAAGACGAUGAUGCAGAGCCGACCUGAGAGGGUGAUCGGCCACAUUGGGACUGAGACACGGCCCAAACUCCUACGGGAGACAGCAGUAGGGAAUCUUCCGCAAUGGGCGAAAGCCUGACGGAGCAAUGCCGCGUGAGUGAAGAAGGCCUUCGGGUCGUAAAACUCUGUUAUAAGAGAAGAACAAAUUGUAGAGUAACUGCUACAGUCUUGACGGUAUCUUAUCAGAAAGCCACGGCUAACUACGUGCCAGCCGCCGCAGUAA
rnacentral:rRNA from 1 species